UCAAUAAAUAGUAGGAGGUGUGUCGACUCAGAGGUAAUAAGACGAAUUGGGCAUAACCUGAAAGACAAUGCAGUUAAUUAUCAAGAGUUCAACACUGAGGCUGGGGAGUGUUCCAGUGAUAUCAGCUACCAUACCCAGAGCCUUUAGAACCCUCCAAGAAAAAUGUAAUGGCCUCAUGAUAUAAGAGUCAAGCAAAGACACCGCAGGGACUUGAACCCCGUCCUGGAAACCAGGAGUGCCAGCCACCAGCGUCUUUUGCUUUUUUUUUUUUAAAGCUAGGGAAAGGCCAAAAAGCAAAACCUGAGAAAACAAAAGGUUGUUUUCUCAGGAAAAGAAAAACCUUUACAACCCUACUGACGAAUCUGCUUCCACUAAGAUGCUAGCUUGGCCAAGUCUGUUAUGUCCACCUGAAAAAGUCUUAGCAGAGAAUUUUUGCAAUCCCACCCCAACAACUUCCUACAAAGGCUUGCUUUUCAUCCGACUUCCUACAAACUGUAAACCUGGCGAGCUCUGCUUAUCCUGAGAGUGGAUUUCCUUUUUUCUGGUUCCCUUGAGUCAUCUGCCUUUAGGAUUCUAGACAGACCUAAGGGGAAAAGAACUCAAAAUAUAUUUUGCCCCCAUUCCCCCAAAAGCACUUUGCCCAAUUACCUCCCCUACACAGGAGUGAGGCUUGUGGUAGGUCAUCUGUUCAAACUACAACGUCUUACAAAACUGGGAGGUUGUGCUGGCUCUACCAUUCAUUCCCCUCUGAGCGGUUAAAGACAACUUGCCAUCUACCAUUCUUCUUUCUGGGCCUUGGCAGUCAGCCCUCAAAAGCUUCUGACAAGAUGCAAGAGGACAUAACCCUGAAAAAGAAAAACCUACAACACCCGCAAAGGCCUACAUACAGCCCCAGAUAUAUCUCUUUACACAGAAGCCUACAACUCCCCCAUAACUAUUAAGACAAAGUAAACAAGUUACCAUCCAAGUUACAGAAAACCACCACCAUGUUGCCGACCUCAAGGAAUGUUACCGCACCGCAUGCUCUCCCUGCAGCCUUUCUUGCACACUGGCAUGCUGGUCUAGGAGCCGCUAUCUAUCCUCUCCACAAUGCCUGCUCGCCUCCUCCGCGCAGUUGACAAGCCAAGCCGCCAGCUAGCUUCAUCACCAACUCGCUCUCGCUCCACCAUCCUGGAACCCUUUCCCAGCUUCACCACCACAUCCGUAUGGCUCCUUCUUCCUAGCUUCCUCCACCGAACCGCACUCUUUCCUGGGCUAUCUUCACCAUGCACUGCUGCUGCUGGCUCCUCAGUCCUUCCUAGCUUCACCAAACUGGCUUCGGGACUCCUGUCUGCCGCUCCUGUCUUCCUAGUUCACUGAAUGCACUUCUGUGUAGACCUGGGUCAGCUGCCAAUGCUAGUCGUUAGGAUUUUAAAAGCACCUCAGCUCAAGUCCAAUGCAAAAUGCUGACAAUCUUGAAACUGUUAUCAAAAGUCCUUUUGUCAUCAAGCAAAAUUAAGCUACAAGUUAAGGCUUUUAAUAUUCUUCUAACUCUUCAAAGGCAUUCUGCCUUAACUUUUUACUUCAGUCCUAGUAGCUUUGAUUGCUAGCUUCAAUCUUGUAUGUGGCUGUCUAAAGACUCUUCUAAACUGCUCGCUCCAUCAGAAAUUUGAACUUAUGGCUUUAAAGAUAAUUUCCUUCUGACUUUAUAUCUUAUCCAACCUUUUGGCCUCAAUCUUAUCUUCUUUGCCUAUCUUGAAUGCUGGCAUCCAAAGUUGUCUUAACUUCCAUUUUGUUUUUCUAUCUUGCUUCUUUCUAUCUUCUAUUCUUCGGCUUCCUACUACCUGUGCCUUUAAGUACCUUUUCUGUCUUCUAAAGAUGCUUUGUCUUCUAUUUUCCUAUCUUCUCUAACAGCUUUUUCUUCACCUUCCUGUAUGUCUUCUUCGUCUUUCACUUCCAUUUUCUAAUCUUCUUUCUCCAAAUACUAGCCUAACCUUUUUGUUUUUUCAAGACAGGGUUUCUCUGUGUAGCCCUGGCUGUCCUGGAACUCACUCUGUAGACCAGGCUGGCCUCGAACUCAGAAAUCCGCCUGCCUCUGCCUCCCAAGUGCUAGGAUUAAAGGCGUGCGCCACCAUCGCCCGGCUAGCCUAACACUUCCAUCUUCCCUGUUUCCAACUCAUGCCUUCAAACGUACAUGCGCCAGUCGAAGGAUUUUUAUAACGGCCGUCAACUUAACCUACUUUUCUCAAUCUUUUAAAACUACACCUCAUUUUCAAACUAUUCUCUACAACUUUACUGUUUUAAAUGCCACUUAGAUUCUAUUUAGGUAACCUUCGUUUUAAUCUACAAGGCCGACCUUCAAACUAGAACCUUUUAGAACUUCACAAAACCUCCCUUUACAAUCUCCUAAACUGCUCUGGUCAGCCUCCAUUAUACAGUACAAAUACUUUUCUCCUCAUUUCCUUUUUCAAACUGUUUAAAUAAGCCUUCAUGUUAUCUCUUAAGAUCUUCUUAGAUUAUUAAGACUAAGUAAUAUUUCGAUAAGCUACUCUAUUAGCUUAAGUUUAGAGUUCUAAUUCUUUUUACUGCUCAAUCUUUUUAAUUAAAAACUUAUCUGCGAUUUCCUCGGGCUGAGUCUCCUGCCUCACGAGCUCAGCUGUGCUGCUCUACGCUGCUCUGCUCUCGCUGCCUGAAUGCCUGACGCAGA
rnacentral:lncRNA from 1 species